rnacentral:rRNA from 1 species
AGAGUUUGAUCCUGGCUCAGGAUGAACGCUGGCGGCAUGCCUAAUACAUGCAAGUCGAACGAGAGGAAGGAAAGCUUGCUUUUCUGAAUCUAGUGGCGAACGGGUGAGUAACACGUAGGUAACCUGCCCAUGUGCCCGGGAUAACUUCUGGAAACGGAUGCUAAAACCGGAUAGGUAGCAGACAAGCAUUUGACUGCUAUUAAAGUGGCUAAGGCCAUGAACAUGGAUGGACCUGCGGUGCAUUAGCUAGUUGGUGAGGUAACGGCCCACCAAGGCGACGAUGCAUAGCCGGCCUGAGAGGGCGGACGGCCACAUUGGGACUGAGACACGGCCCAAACUCCUACGGGAGGCAGCAGUAGGGAAUUUUCGUCAAUGGGGGGAACCCUGAACGAGCAAUGCCGCGUGAGUGAGGAAGGUCUUCGGAUCGUAAAGCUCUGUUGUAAGAGAAAAACGACAUUCAUAGGGAAUGAUGAGUGAGUGAUGGUAUCUUACCAGAAAGUCACGGCUAACUACGUGCCAGCAGCCGCGGUAAUACGUAGGUGGCGAGCGUUAUCCGGAAUGAUUGGGCGUAAAGGGUGCGUAGGUGGCAGAACAAGUCUGGAGUAAAAGGUAUGGGCUCAACCCGUACUGGCUCUGGAAACUGUUCAGCUAGAGAACAGAAGAGGACGGCGGAACUCCAUGUGUAGCGGUAAAAUGCGUAGAUAUAUGGAAGAACACCGGUGGCGAAGGCGGCCGUCUGGUCUGUUGCUGACACUGAAGCACGAAAGCGUGGGGAGCAAAUAGGAUUAGAUACCCUAGUAGUCCACGCCGUAAACGAUGAGAACUAGGUGUUGGGGGAAUAACUCAGUGCCGCAGUUAACGCAAUAAGUUCUCCGCCUGGGGAGUAUGCACGCAAGUGUGAAACUCAAAGGAAUUGACGGGGGCCCGCACAAGCGGUGGAGUAUGUGGUUUAAUUCGAAGCAACGCGAAGAACCUUACCAGGCCUUGACAUCCCUUGCAGAGGUAUAGAGAUAUAUCCGAGGUUAUCAAGGAGACAGGUGGUGCAUGGUUGUCGUCAGCUCGUGUCGUGAGAUGUUGGGUUAAGUCCCGCAACGAGCGCAACC